rnacentral:rRNA from 1 species
AAAUUGAAGAGUUUGAUCAUGGCUCAGAUUGAACGCUGGCGGCAGGCCUAACACAUGCAAGUCGAACGGUAACAGGAAGCAGCUUGCUGCUUCGCUGACGAGUGGCGGACGGGUGAGUAAUGUCUGGGAAACUGCCUGAUGGAGGGGGAUAACUACUGGAAACGGUGGCUAAUACCGCAUAACGUCGCAAGACCAAAGAGGGGGACUUUCGGGCCUCUUGCCAUCAGAUGUGCCCAGAUGGGAUUAGCU